AUGAGGGUCUAGCCACACCAAUUAGCUUCAAAUCUCCCUAGCAUAAUUAUGUUUCUACCUGUGCAAGCAAACAAGCCACAUCUUUAUUACAGCCACCUGUUGGUCUGCCCAACUGUGACCACCAUAAACAAGUUUCUCAGAACUGAACUCGAUCACUAUAAUUCACAUGCAUGUGGAACCUCCGACGAGGAGUGGUGAUACGAAUGGUCCUCGGGGGAACCAAUACAUCCAACAAGUCAACUGUGUUAGCCUGUGUAUAUUUCAUUAUGAUCAUUAUGAGUCAAGCUAAAGCACUCAGACAAAGAUUUACCAAGAAAUCGUGUCACAUUGGUAUGAAGAAGCUCAUCUCGAUUAUAGAAGCAUCUAAAAAGGCAAAUAGUUAUGAUGUGGACAUGAUCGUAAGGAGGUUAGAAAUUGAAGGACACCUCACCAACUAAACUAUUGUUAAUUGCUGCCACUUUCUAAGACAUCUCU